rnacentral:tRNA from 1 species
GCCGCCGUAGCUUAGUUGGCAGAGCGCCGGACUGUUAAUCCGGCGGUCCCCGGUUCAAAUCCGGGCGGCGGCGCCA